GUUGGUUUUGCGAUUGUCACAACUGAAGCACGCGAGCGGCGCACUACAUCAAGGUAAGUAAACAACAGCUUGUCUGCGAGAAAAGAUCUCUGUAGAUGCAUGGUGGAAUGUGUAUCUGAGAUUUUACCAGAAGACGCUGGACCAUAUGUUCAGAGAGUUAGAUUUUGAAUUGUGCGUCCAACUCCAUUGACUAGAAUCCCCCUGACAGCUCACUGAAGUGCCUGCUUUCCUCCGCUGCCAUGGCUUCCACACCUCCACCUCUCAUGAAGAAGCACAGUCAGACUGAUCUUGUGAGUCGCCUCAAGUCCCGAAAGGUCCUGGGUGUUGGUGGGGAGGAUGAUGAUGGAGAGGUGCACAGG